AACGUAGGUACCGAGCGUUAUCCGGAUUUACUGGGCGUAAAGCGCGUUCAGGCGGUUUGGCAAGUCGGGCAUGAAAUCUCUCGGCUCAACCGGGAGAGGUUGUCCGAUACUGCCGGACUUGAGGGCAGUAGAGGGUGGUGGAAUUCCGGGUGUAGUGGUGAAAUGCGUAGAGAUCCGGAGGAACACCAGUGGCGAAAGCGGCCACCUGGACUGCACCUGACGCUGACACGCGAAAGCUAGGGGAGCGAACGGG
rnacentral:rRNA from 1 species